GUACACUCCUGCGGGAGGCAGCAGUGGGGAAUAUUGCACAAUGGGCGCAAGCCUGAUGCAGCCAUGCCGCGUGUAUGAAGAAGGCCUUCGGGUUGUAAAGUACUUUCAGCGGGGAGGAAGGCGAUAAGGUUAAUAACCUUGUUGAUUGACGUUACCCGCAGAAGAAGCACCGGCUAACUCCGUGCCAGCAGCCGCGGUAAUACGGAGGGUGCAAGCGUUAAUCGGAAUUACUGGGCGUAAAGCGCACGCAGGCGGUCUGUCAAGUCGGAUGUGAAAUCCCCGGGCUCAACCUGGGAACUGCAUUCGAAACUGGCAGGCUAGAGUCUUGUAGAGGGGGGUAGAAUUCCAGGUGUAGCGGUGAAAUGCGUAGAGAUCUGGAGGAAUACCGGUGGCGAAGGCGGCCCCCUGGACAAAGACUGACGCUCAGGUGCGAAAGCGUGGGGAGCAAACAGGAUUAGAUACCCUAGUAGUCCCAUG
rnacentral:rRNA from 1 species